UCAGGGGGACAUAGACCCUACGAGCCUAAGUAGACAUGCCCCAUGGGUCUAAAAUCUGAACUAACUUUUGAAGUGAAGUGCUAUGCUGAAGUUACGAUAAGCUGGGUUUACAAGGCCAACUUUGUGUUGGCGAAUUGGCGAAUUGGCGAAUUGGACAAACAUGCCAAUGCUCUAUGAACCGUUCUAUGAACCGUGUGUAGUGCGUUUACACUGAUGACUGCGAGUAUAGGUUUGGUAUAGGAAAGCCCAACAAAUACAAACAUCAGAUGGCCGACAGUGCUACGAAUGUGAGGUCUCCUCAAACUUCAGCCAGCAGUACAGACCACACGGACAGCGAGAAGAAAGAGCAUGGUUCCCAUCUAAAGGACGCUGCCUCGAUAGAAUUCUAAGCUCUUAAUUCGUAAGCCUGUAAAAUGAUCAAUUUACACAAUAAGGUUGCCGGCAGAUGGCAGCUAGAAUAGGCACACAAUAGGGUCCCUAUAUAGGUGGCGUACAACAAUAAGCCUCCGCGAUUGUUCACCGUUGCACUAUUUCGUCUCUAGAAAAUGCCUUUUUUGGCUUUUUUUUUUUGCUGAAAUUCAGCACUA